AUGUUUGAGUUUGAACAGGUACUAGUGGCCACAAAUAAUUUUUCAGAAGAAAACAAACUUGGAGAAUGUGGCUUUGGCACUGUCUACAAGGGCCAGUUACCCGAGGGAUCAGAGAUAGCACUUAAGAGACUUGCUCCACAUUCGGGUCAAGGUUUCACAGAGUUCAAAAAUGAAGUCCAGCUCAUAGCCAAACUAAAGCAUAGGAAUUUGGUUAGGCUCUUAGGUUGUUGCUCUCAUGAAGACGAGAAAAUAUUGGUCUAUGAAUAUUUGUCAAACAAAAGCUUGGCUUCCUUCAUCUUUGAUGAAAAUAAAAGAGCUUUGCUAGAUUGGUCCACACUUUUAGCAAUAAUUCAAGGAAUAGCUCAUGGACUUCUUUACCUACAUAAGCACUCCCAAUUGCGCGUCAUACAUCGAGAUCUUAAACCGAGCAACAUUCUCUUGGAUAGCGAAAUGAAUCCAAAAAUUUCAGACUUUGGGCUAGCAAAAAUAUUCAACUCAAAUAGCAUUGAACAAAACACUACAAGAAGAGUGUUCGGUACAUACGGCUACAUGCCCCCUGAGUAUGCUUCAGAAGGCAUCUUCUCUAUUAAAUCCGAUGUCUUCAGCUUUGGUGUUGUUAUUUUUGAGAUCAUUAGUGGAAAACGGAAUUCUGGUAGCCGACAAUGUGGAGAUUUCAUCAAUCUCCUUGGAUAUGCAUGGCAAUUAUGGAAAGAGGGAAGGUUGAUUGAUCUCGCUGAUGCAUCAUUGGUUUCCAAGAGUAACCCAAUAGAGAUGAUGAGAUGCAUUAACAUAGCAUUGUUGUGUGUACAAGAUAAUGCAUCUGAUAGACCAACCAUGGCCGAUGUUGUUGCGAUGCUAAGCAAUCAGAGAAUGAUCAUGGCCGAGCCUAAACAACCAGCAUAUUUCAAUGUAAGAGUGGAAAAUCAUGGGGCAUCUUGUGCUCCCGAAUCAUGCAGUAUUAAUGAUAUUACCAUAUCGGUCACAGUUCCUAGAUAG
rnacentral:rRNA from 1 species